rnacentral:tRNA from 1 species
CAAAGCAUAGCUUAAUCCAAAGCACCUAGCUUACACCUAGAAGAUACCAUACAGAGUGGCUGCUUUGAG